UACGAGGGGGGCGAGCGUUGUUCGGAAUUAUUGGGCGUAAAGGGUGCGUAGGCGGUUUGGUAAGUCUCGUGUGAAAUCUCCGGGCUCAACUCGGAGCCUGCACGAGAAACUGCCGGGCUUGAGUGUGGGAGAGGUGAGUGGAAUUCCUGGUGUAGCGGUGAAAUGCGUAGAUAUCAGGAGGAACACCUGUGGCGAAAGCGGCUCACUGGACCAUAACUGACGCUGAUGCACGAAAGCUAGGGGAGCAAACAUG
rnacentral:rRNA from 1 species